GGCACUUUAGUUUAUAAAAAAUUAAAAUUUUGUACAUUUUAGAACUACGGAAGUGCCU
rnacentral:tRNA from 1 species